rnacentral:rRNA from 1 species
UACGAAGGGGGCUAGCGUUGCUCGGAAUCACUGGGCGUAAAGGGUGCGUAGGCGGGUCUUUAAGUCAGGGGUGAAAUCCUGGAGCUCAACUCCAGAACUGCCUUUGAUACUGAAGAUCUUGAGUCCGGGAGAGGUGAGUGGAACUGCGAGUGUAGAGGUGAAAUUCGUAGAUAUUCGCAAGAACACCAGUGGCGAAGGUGGCUCACUGGACAUGUAUUGACGCUGAGGUGCGAAAGCGUGGGGAGCAAACAGG